rnacentral:rRNA from 1 species
UGGGGAAUUUUGCACAAUGGGGGAAACCCUGAUGCAGCGACGCCGCGUGAUUUAGAAGGCCUUCGGGUUGUAAAAAUCUUUUCUAUGGGAAGAAAAUGACAGUACCAUAGGAAUAAGGACCGGCUAAUUACGUGCCAGCAGCCGCGGUAAUACGUAAGGUCCGAGCGUUGUCCGGAAUCAUUGGGCGUAAAGGGUACGUAGGCGGGUAAGCAAGUUAGAAGUGAAAUCCUAUAGCUCAACUAUAGUAAGCUUUUAAAACUGCUCAUCUUGAGUUAUGGAAGGGAAAGUGGAAUUCCUAGUGUAGCGGUGAAAUGCGCAGAUAUUAGGAGGAAUACCGGUGGCGAAGGCGACUUUCUGGCCAUAACCUGACGCUGAGGUACGAAAGCGUGGGUAGCAAACAGG